AGUUCCAUAGUGUAGCAGUUAGCACGUCUGCUUUAUAUGUAGAAGGUCCUGGGUUUGUGCCCCAGUGGAGCCA
rnacentral:tRNA from 1 species